rnacentral:rRNA from 1 species
AAACCAACAGGGAUUGCCUCAGUAACGGCGAGUGAAGCGGCAAAAGCUCAAAUUUGAAAUCCUUCGGGAGUUGUAAUUUGUAGGUUGGGAGACCCCGCGGCUAGUGGCACCAAGUCCCUUGGAACAGGGCGCCUUAGAGGGUGAGAGCCCCGUAGGUACCACAACACCGUCUUGUGUCUCCUCUCCAAAGAGUCGAGUUGUUUGGGAAUGCAGCUCAAAGUGGGUGGUAAAUUCCAUCUAAAGCUAAAUACCGGCGAGAGACCGAUAGCGAACAAGUACAGUGAUGGAAAGAUGAAAAGCACUUUGAAAAGAGAGUGAAACAGUACGUGAAAUUGUUGAAAGGGAAGGGCUUGCAAGCAGACACGGCCUUCGUGCCGGGCCAGCAUCGGUUGCUAGGGGUGGAUAAGGAACAAGGAAUGUAGCUCCUCGGAGUAUUAUAGCCUUGCGCGAUACACCCACUGGCGACCGAGGCCUGCGGUAUUCUUUACCCUA